rnacentral:rRNA from 1 species
CGAUACGGGACUCAUCCGAGGCCCCGUAAUCGGAAUGAGUACACUCUAAACCCUUUAACGAGGAUCAAUUGGAGGGCAAGUCUGGUGCCAGCAGCCGCGGUAAUUCCAGCUCCAAUAGCGUAUAUUAAAGUUGUUGCGGUUAAAAAGCUCGUAGUCGAAUUUGUGUCCCGCGCCGCCGGUUCAUCGCUCGCGGUGUCAACUGGCGUGUCCGCGGGACGUCCUGCCGGUGGGCUUAGCCCCUGCGGGCGGCCCAAUCUCAAUCCCACCGCGGUGCUCUUCACUGAGUGUCGAGGUGGGCCGGCACGUUUACUUUGAACAAAUUAGAGUGCUUAAAGCAGGCUAAAACAUCGCCUGAAUACUGUGUGCAUGGAAUAAUGGAAUAGGACCUCGGUUCUAUUUUGUUGGUUUUCGGAACCCCGAGGUAAUGAUUAAUAGGAACGGAUGGGGGCAUUCGUAUUGCGACGUUAGAGGUGAAAUUCUUGGAUCGUCGCAAGACGGACAGAAGCGAAAGCAUUUGCCAAAAACGCUUUCAUUGAUCAAGAACGAAAGUUAGAGGUUUGAAGGCGAUCAGAUACCGCCCUAGUUCUAACCAUAAACGAUGCCAGCUAGCGAUCCGCCGACGUUCCUCCGAUGACUCGGCGGGCAGCUUCCGGGAAACCAAAGCUUUUGGGUUCCGGGGGAAGUAUGGUUGCAAAGCUGAAACUUAAAGGAAUUGACGGAAGGGCACCACCAGGAGUGGAGCCUGCGGCUUAAUUUGACUCAACACGGGAAACCUCACCAGGCCCGGACACCGGAAGGAUUGACAGAUUGAGAG